CAGGAGAACAUUUGUAAGCUGCUCUGAGUU
rnacentral:piRNA from 1 species